ACAGGGAAGCACGCAGAUUACGUUCUUACCGGGCCGUCCCAAAGAACAAAACGACGCCUUGAUGAAUCGGGCAUGAUUAGCACUGAACGCAAUAUCGGUAGUGCUCACUGUUCAUGGACGCCUGGACAAAAAAACAUUCUCGGCUGCUAUUGCUCCCCAAACUACCAUCUCUUCACUCGCCGCUCUGUUCCAGUAAGAACCCUAGAUCCAUUCCCCUCUCCUCCUCAUCCCCUUAAUCGCGCCCCCACCCCAAUCUCUCGUCCGGUGAGGUUCAUCCAGGUAGGAGGGAUCUGAAGCACGCCGUCUGCUCCUGCAACGCGCGGUCGUCACCGUCCGGUGAGGUUCCCAAAUCCCUUCACACUCGAUGGACCAAGAUGAUGAGCUGCACCACCCCGCGUGGACCUUGCCACCACUGACCCCGCUUGGCUGACCCCAACAUCCAGGACCUCUCUUCAGAAAGUUUGCGCUCUUAUCUCUACAUUCAACGAAUCCAAACACAGACUGGUUGUAGAAAUUGGUUUUGGUGGCAUGUUGCGUCUCCCGGCUAUUCCUAGGCUUAAUUUAAAAUUUAGCACAUGGAUCAUGAGCAUGGUCGAUGGUCCGAACAGAUGCAUCAAGCUAUCUCAUGAUAGAUCGAUUAAAUUCUGGCCAGAGGAUAUCCACAAAGUUUUUGGCAUACCAUGUGGCACAAUUGGCAUUCAUAGUCCUGAAUAUCAACAAGCCGAAAGUUCAGUUCAGUUCUUUAGGUCUGUCUUUGGUUUGUCUGACAAAGGGAAUCAAGUGUUAAAGAAUGUUGAACUAGUUCUCAUGAGAGAAUUAUCUGAGUCAACUGCCAGCAAUUUAGAGAUUGACUGUUUCAAAAUGACUUUUGUGAUAUAUUCCAUGGGCCACAUCCUCGCACCGUCGACUAAGCACGACGUGUUUGUAAUUGAUUACUGGGCUGCUAUUGCGAACACAGAUAAAAUCGUGGACUUCAACUUUUGUGAGUUAUGUAUUUGCUGAUUUACUGGCAGCUUGCUGGAAGGUGAAGCAAGACAUUCAGAACAAUAGGCCAGUUACUCACUUGACGGGAUGCCAUCUUUUUUUCCAGAUAUUUUAUCUAGACAACCUAGACCUGGGCAUGCUAAACCUCCCUCACAGUUCAUAUCCACGCAUUUCCUGCUUUGAUGAAUCAAGGGUCAGGAAAAUGAUCAUACAGUGCACCGGAAUUGGCCCUGGCCCGACAGAUUUCUGUACCCCAGAUUCGUCACCACACCCAGAUUUGCUACAUGCGCGCGGUUUGGGACAGAAAGCCUGAAGCCAGCACAUCGUCAUCAAAGAAACCAAUCAAUCCUGCUAAAAAUAUACCUGCGAUAACACUCCUCAACAACAGUCUCCUGGAACUUCUUCAUAUGUGUCACACAUCCCUGCACCUGCUGCAUUCGCCACCAUCCUGAAAGAUAACUACCCAGAUUUGGCGCAUUCUGAGCUUGGCAUACUCCUUAAUCAGCCCAAUGCAGUGUACUUCAAAGCGUACAAUGCUUUGAAGCUUGCUGUUCAUGAAGAGAAUACUUGUUUUCUCCACAGCCUCUUGUCAAUCCUUUCCAAAAGUUGCAUAUGUUGCUCCCUCCGUGGUUCAACCUGCAUUGCACAAGAGCUCCAGCCAUCUGAAGUCCCCCUUUUAUCUAAUUUGUGUCGGUAAACCAACCAGCAAUCCAAGUCUGAAGGUGCCACAUCUGCAGCACCAAAGGGGAAACCCUAGGCAGCCAGUUCAUCCCACACUGUGAAUGAUUUUACUCCAUUAGUCAAGAAAAGCAGGCUGAAUUUUUACGACGUUGAUGACGAGGUAACUCCGAAGCAGCCAAAAUUACCAGCACAGCUCGACCCGUCCAAAAAUUGGGCAGACAGCAUAAUAGGCGGCAUCAUCAUGUUUAACGACGAGGCUGAUCCCCCGGAAGAUGCUGUCCUCUUUGCUCAGAUAUCACCAUUCAAACCAACCCCCAGCAGUACCGUGCACACCUCUUAUGCUGAUUCACAUUGGACCGAUGGCAGAUCACACAUUGACCCACCACCUUCUGUUCUUGUCGACAUUGACUCGUAUAUACGGAACACCCCAUCAACCGACAUUACCAGCCCCUGGAUCACACAUCCUGAUCCCCGGUACUGCUCUCUUACUGGUGAUAGUAUAGUUGAACAACUGUCUGGAACCAAGCUUCUUGAUCAUGAAGCAUGCUGUCUCAUAUUCCGGUGUUUCAAUCAGAUUGAUAAUCAAUUACUCUACCCUGGUUCUACACCCAAAUGGCGUGUGUUCAUCGAACCUGAUUUCUCGACGUCUGUACUGGCUGGAGACAAUGUUUGGGACAUGGUGUCUAUUCAGAAACAAUUUACCGCACCCAAUAUAAUCAACAAUAUCCCGAACACUCGGCUAUUCAUCAUCCCAGCUUACCUCCCUUCUGGUUGGACUGUCUACUGCUGGGACAUGAAGCGGAAGAUCAUCCACAUGUGUGAUCCAAUGGCUGAUGCCUCUUCUUACACUGCUCAGAAAGCAAGCCACGUUAUUAUUGCUGACAAGCUUCAUGACGCCCUCUUCACAUGUUUGAAUAAGUUUUUCAAAUCAUGGCAUGUUGAUUCAACUAACUGGAAGAAAAAAAAUUCCAGUUUCUCUCUGCCACAUUGUUUGCCCGCAACGAGAGCGGUGUCUGUAUGCUUCACACGGCUCGUCACUUCAAUGGCAUUGGACUUGCUUGUAAGCCUGCCAAUGAAACACUAGCUCAUCAGAAGAAACUUAUGGCGGCCGAGUUACUGCAGUUACAUGGGAACCUCGCCAUCCUCCCAGCUCCACUGAAAGCAAUCUUCCAUGCCCAGCAUAAUGCAUGAUGGCCUGCCUUUCAGAGCGUCUACAUGCUAUUUAUCUGUGACGUACGCCUGUAUACUGCUUUCAUCAACUGUGUAAUGGAUAUUUGCAUGUUACUUUUAUCAACUGUGUAAUGGAUAUUUGGAUCUAUUUGCCAGUUUGAUCAUGCCCUAUCAUAAUAUUCCAGGAUUUAUUCUUAACCUCAUAAAUAUUCUGUUCAUUAUGUCAGUAUGUUAACUUUGUUUCCUAUGCAUGGUCGAACUAUUUUUCCAUUUGCCAUGGUUUUAUUUUUUCCAACUACAUGAUGGAAUAUAUAUGAAAUAUUGUUGAAUAUUCCUAGGUUUCUCAGCCUGCCCCUCUUAGAUAGCCUCACACCCUGCAAUCGCCCAACACACCCACCCCCACACACCUACAACUACACAACCCUGGGAUGGCCCACACCGCCACCUAAAAAUUGCUUCAACAAACGCUAACACCACAUCCUCGCCACACCGCUCAUCCACUCAAAACCACCUGCCAGUACUUCUCCCACUCAUUGAACAUUUCCAGAUCUCCCAUUCCCCAACUCUCAUCUCCUCCCAGAUAUAGAUUUGUUUACAUAUCUACGAUCCCCCCUGGCCAAACUAAACCUUCUGCUGAAUCACAGGACAGCCGCCCUGACCUGCUGCCUUGUGACGAGCCGAUGGGAUGGAAGGUUGCUAACUCAGCCACCUCUGCUCUCCCGAGGCCAAUGCUGGAAAACAAUCUCCUCCCCUCCAGUCAUAUCUGAUGCUAGCCUUUUUUUGUCAUCAUUGCCUAGUCAUUAUUAUGGCCUACAAAUUCUCCUUCUUCGUACGUUGGGAUGUUAAGAUCUGGUCAAUAUCUCUUGAUUGAGCCCCUGAUGCUGCUUCGAGCAUAGCGUGUAAAUCCAUGCUACAACCAGUCCCCUCCACCGCCAUCCUUUCAACAUGUGAAGUGAACCAUGGGAUCGCCUGACAAAAGAAGAUGUUCUAUCUCAGCGACAUCUGAAUUUUGAACUAAUCGUUCAUCACCAAAUGAUGGUUCGGCUGCCUCAAUCAACCCACUGAUAAGCCGGAGUCCAGCAGGCUCAUCUUCUCCUAUCUCAUACGCCAAGUCGCCAUGGGCAUCCCAUGAACAAUAUUGUUGAGCAGUGGAUUAUCCCUCAUCUAUUGCGUAUUUCCCCCAGUUUACAUCUGUCAGGUCAGCAUGCAUUAUCACCAUCAUAUAAGAACUACGGUUCAGACAUACCUUCUUCCCUCCAGGACCAAGUGCAAUUGAUACAUAAAGCAUUGCAAAUGCUCUCUGAGUUCUCGCAGCAGCAUCACAAUUUGAUUUCAACUUCUUAUCUCCCAAUAGAAGCGUGACAAGUUCUGAAACUGAUAUUUCUUCAGAUAAUCCAGGGAGUUUAAGUAUGCUCCGCACAACCUUUAUUUCCCCAUCCAUCACCACACCUUCACUAACUGGAAUUGUGGACGAGCCACCAAUCCUGUUGCCUGUUAUGUUAGCAGCCGCACUUUCUGUAAAUAUGAACUAUGUCACAAUCAGUCGGCCCUAUUCUCAGUGCUCUGUCAUCAGGCAUGACAUUCAACAUCAACGAAGCUGAAUGAUUUAGGCAGCCAGAUCCGCCAUUGCAGCCACCACCUUCAACUGUCUUCUUCCACCUGCAGCUAGACAGCUUGUGGUGUUUACUUGACCUAUGGGUGGACGACUGUGCUGCGUUUAUGGAAUGGAAUGCCUUUGUGCUAUAGCUCUCCCUGGCACAGUGCCACCGACAGUUCAAUUGUAGGUUGGCCACCCAACUCCCCGAAAUAACCGCGCUCCUCUUUCUUUUCCUGCGAGUCUGCGACAUAACUAAAUUCACGGUUAUUAUCUGAGCUUCAGGCUUUUUUGAUUAAAAUGCAUUUAUCC